rnacentral:rRNA from 1 species
AUUGAACGCUGGCGGCAGGCCUAACACAUGCAAGUCGAACGAGUGGCGGACGGGUGAGUAAUGUCUGGGAAACUGCCUGAUGGAGGGGGAUAACUACUGGAAACGGUAGCUAAUACCGCAUACCAUCGGAUGUGCCCAGAUGGGAUUCGCUUGUUGGGGGGUUAACGGCUCACCAAGGCGACGAUCCCUAGCUGGUCUGAGAGGAUGACCAGCCAAACUGGAACUGAGACACGGUCCAGAGUCCUACGGGAGGCAGCAGUGGGGAAUAUUGCACAAUGGGCGCAAGCCUGAUGCAGCCAUGCCGCGUGUAUGAAGAAGGCCUUCGGGUUGUAAAGUACUUUCAGCGUGGAGGCGUUACUCGCAGAAGAAGCACCGGCUAACUCCGUGCCAGCAGCCGCGGUAAUAC